rnacentral:rRNA from 1 species
UACGUAGGGUGCAAGCGUUAAUCGGAAUUACUGGGCGUAAAGCGUGCGCAGGCGGUCCGUUAAGACAGAUGUGAAAUCCCCGGGCUUAACCUGGGAACUGCAUUGGUGACUGGCGGGCUAGAGUAUGGCAGAGGGGGGUAGAAUUCCACGUGUAGCAGUGAAAUGCGUAGAGAUGUGGAGGAAUACCGAUGGCGAAGGCAGCCCCCUGGGCCAAUACUGACGCUCAUGCACGAAAGCGUGGGGAGCAAACAGG